rnacentral:misc_RNA from 1 species
UUUCCGUAGGUGAACCUGCGGAAGGAUCAUUAAUAAAUGGUCUACGUUUUUUAAGUAGACGCUUAAUAAUCCUACCCUUUGUGAAUUUGUUUGUUUGAAAUAAUUUUUUUUAAAAUUAUUGAUUGUCUUUCCCGUUGAAUAGAGUGUCUUCUAACAGUGAAUUCGCAGGGGAGAGUCAGUAAUUUUUAAAAAGACCUUUUUUAAAAUUAAACUUUUUGUAUUCAUUUGUCUAAAAUUAUUUUUAUAAUAUAAAAACAACUUUUGACAAUGGAUCUCUUGGUUCUCGCAACGAUGAAGAACGCAGCAAAAUGCGAUAAAUAGUGUGAAUUGCAGAAUACGUGAAUCAUCGAAUCUUCGAACGCAUAUUGCACUUUCUUAGUUUACUAAAAAAGUAUGUCUGUUUGAGUAUCAGUAAAAUAUUCUCAUAAAAAACAUUGUUUUUUAUGGUUAUGAGUGUUUUACAACGAUACAAGUUGUUUCACUUUAAAUUUUUUAAAAUUUGAAUUUUUCUAAUUUUAAAAUAAAAUUGGAUAAAAUUUUCCCGUAAAAAGGAAUAACCUAAACAAUUUUAGUUUUUUGAUUAGAAUUUUUCAUUAUAAAGGAAAAUUUAAUAAAUAACUUGAUCUCAAAUCAGAUAAGAGUACCCGCUGAACUUAAGCAUAUCAAUAAGCGGAGGAAAAGAAACUAACAAGGAUUCCCUUAGUAACGGCGAGUGAAGCGGGAAGAGCUCAAAUUUGAAAUCUUCAAGGUUUUACCUUGACGAAUUGUAGUUUAAAGAAGUGUUUUCUGUUGAAGUUUUGGUAAAAGUUCUUUGGAAUAGGACAUCAUAGAGGGUGAGAAUCCCGUAUUUGACCAUUAUUUUCAGCUGUGUGAUACACUUUCAAAGAGUCGGAUUGUUUGGGAAUGCAGUCCAAAAUGGGUGGUAAAUUUCAUCUAAAGCUAAAUAUUGGCGAGAGACCGAUAGCGAACAAGUACCGUGAGGGAAAGAUGAAAAGAACUUUGAAAAGAGAGUUAAACAGUACGUGAAAUUGUCAAAAGGGAAGCGUUUGACACCAGUGUUGUUUUCUCGAAAAUCAAUUAAAAAAGAGUUGGAUUUGUGUUGUAUUGACCUUACAGCUUGCUUCACUCUUUUCUGCUUUUUUUAAUGCACUUUUCGUUUAACUAGUCGACAUCAGUUUCUUUGUUGUAAAAGGGUCAUUGGAAGGUGGCUUUCUCUUCGGAGAAAGUGUUUAUAGCCUUUGAUCUCUGCAAUCGGAGAGACUGAGGUCUGCAGCGUAGAUCCUUCGGGGUUAGAUACAUUUGUGCUAAGCUACAGCUUUUCAUAGACAUCUUGUUGACUAUGUUUAGUCUUGUGACUUACCCGCUUAUGCUAUUUUACCUACGCUUAGGAUGUUG